UUUAUUACGCCAAAGCAACACUGUGCUUAAAAAGUGACAUACCUUAUUAGAGAGACAGCACAAAAAAAUCGUGCAAUUGUUUUACAAGAUGGAAAAUCACAGAAACUACUUCUAUUCUCUAUCUUCUCUGCAAAAGAGAACUAAAUUCUCUGCGGGCCGCAGAACAGGUUUAUAUCCGCCCUGUUCACCAAGGACAGGGCCUCCCCUGCUCCCUGAAGUCUUGUCCAAAUGGUCUGGCUGGACAGUCGCUGCCACCAAAGAAAAGCUGGGCUGCGACACUUACUGGGAGGAGCUGGUUUGCAACCUGGAGGAUGAGGGGUGGGAGGAACAGAGAUGCUGAGAACUCUCAAGCAAAUUUUUUAGCAAAAAAAGCACCUCUAUAAAAGUUGCCAUGCACAGAACAUGUGAAAGGGGUUCGGUGUGUAGAGAGCAGAGUUUAUGAAUGGGGCACACCUUGUGGUCAGACACAGAAGUAAGCCUGCCAUUUGGCCAGCAAGUGGCUUAACGUGUUCUCCCCGCACCUUCCCUUGUAACCUGGGAUGUGUUAAAUUUAUCAGGCUGCAGAAGGAGCCGUGUUCAUCCUCAGAGGGUUCCAGCCACCCUUCUCCAGGUCACCUCUCUGUGCCCCCAAAAGAUGAAGCACUGGGCUCUAGUGGAGCCAAAGCAAGAGGGCUGCCCCCACCCCACAAGGGCUCCGCACAGACCCGCUGUCUCCUCCCCACCUCCAUCCUGGGGCCGCCUCCACUCUGUCCACCCUGGAUCGUGCAACCAGGUGUCUACCCUGACAGUUCUCCUAAGGGGGAGCAGCAGGGCCCUCAGUGGAGCGUGUGGUCCCACCAGGUUGGAAGAGAGGACCCAUCUGUCUCCUUAGCCCCUACUGUCACCCCAAUACAGGCACAGAAAAACACACUGCACUUGAGAAGAAGACCAUUCCUGGUGUUUCCAGAAGUAAGCACAGCACAAUAAGGCAGGACGUAAAGAUGAGCCUACAGCUGAACAAAGAAUAGUCAAAGGAAAAAUAAGCUGAACCAGGAGUGACACUGACGCUCUCCACACACACCCUUCAGUCCCAAAGGUCUCCUAACAGGGGCCGUGCACCUGCACCUAAGUUUUUGAGAAACCGGGGUGAAAGGGCAACAAUGGUCCUGAUUCGUGGUAUGGAAACAAAUAGCACAACUGAGACAAACGAGAUAGAGCGCACCUCAGCCCUUCCAGGUUCCGAGAUAAGAAUUCUCUCCUGCAGGCCCCCAGCCAAGGAACUGAUGCCAGGGAAACAGAGAGAGUCUCGCAGCUCCGACAACAGUGACUUUCCUGGGCUGAUCGCUGUAAUGGCUUCAGUUGCUAAAAUGCAAUUCAGAAAAGAGCAAUCUUUAUUCCUUCAACAUUGAAGACCACAUCCCAUGUGCCCAGCCUGUGCUAGCAGUGGAUACACGCUGGAGAAGAGGAGAGCCUCGAGAUGUCAUAGGGCAUCAGGGGAGACGGGCAGCAAAUCACAGGUCAAUGUCCACAUGCACAGUGGAACUAGCAUACGGAAGAGCAUGAACAGUGAUGAAGUGGGCAACCACACCAGCCACCAGUGACAUCACAGACAGUCUACAUGAUGUGACGACGGUUGUUGCUGGUCUCUCGAAAUACCCUUCAGGCUCAGCACUACCUCAGGACUGCGGUGGGUCCCAAGCCUGCAACCGGGUCUUGUAAUCUAAUGUGUUGCUCUAAAGUAAAUAUAUUACUAUACCACCAAUUUGUUUCAUAUUUUUACACAUAUCUGUUUCCUUUGAAACAACAUAUUUCAACUUAAUUUGUUUCCCUAGAAAUCCUAUAUAUUUUGUGUUGAGAAAUUUCAUUCUGAGAAGAGGCUCAAAGGCUCCAAGCAGAGGUCUCUGGGAAAUCAAUCAGUCAAUAAAAAGAAUGGCAAUAAAAUUAAGAAGCUCUGCCCUUGAACAAUUGUUCUCACCAUUCUUUAGUGUAAUGGAUGGAUGAAGUAAGAAUCUUUCUGAUUUAUCCAUUAAUGCCAUUUCUUGCAAAUGACCUUUUGAUAAUAAGAGAAUAGCAGUGGGUUCCAAAGCAAUUCACCACAAGAAAAUAGAAAAAAAAGGAGAAAACCAUCUCUAUAGAAUUUAAAAAAAUGGUAAAAUUCAAUAUCUACUUAUCAUCAAAAACUUCUGGAAAACUAUGAGUAGAGGAGCAUGCUCUCAACCUGAUGAAGGACAUCUUCAGGAAAUCUACAUAAACAUCCUACUUGAAUGUAAAACCUAGACGUUUCCUCUCUGAGGUGGAGAAUCUUGCCUGUCCUCACCACUUCUGUUCAACAUGGCCCUGGAAGGUCUAGACACUUCAAUAAGGCAAGAAAAAGAAAUAAAAGGCACAAAGAUUGGUAUAAAAGAAAGAAAACUGUCAUUAUUGACAGAUGAUGUAACUUUAUAAGUAUAAAAUCCAGGAGAAUCUAUAGAUAAGUUAUUAGAAUUAAUGAGUGAAUUUAAGAAGGUUACUGGAUUGUGGUCAAUAUAUAAAAAUCAAUUGGAUAUUUUUCUCCUGGCAGCAAACAGAAAUAAUUUAAGAAAAAAAAGAUAAUGUAGCAGAUGCUUGCCGUGCUCUGUGCUACAUCCUAUCCACCAACCUGAUUUCAGCACAGCUGUGGUGGACAGUUCCACACACGUGGUCGUGUCCUACAUCAAGCACACACUGUGGGGUCUGCUUCUCCGCUCAGGGAAUUCAUCCAAGAUGCAGAAGUCCUCUCAGUCUGUGCACAGAGACACCCCAGAAGUGCAGGAACAGUAAUACCUUGGGAGGCCACCCUCAACCAUUCGAGGAAUGGGGUUGUU
rnacentral:lncRNA from 1 species